AUUUUUUAGGUUCAUAACAGAACCUUAAAAUCCGAUCUCACAGAGACGGGAAGCCAGUGAAAAGGUGCCAGAAUGGGCAUAAUGUGGUCAAACUUUCUACUUCAUGUCAAAAGUCUGGCAGCAGCAUUUUGAACCAGUUGAAGACCCCUGAUGCUGGACUGCGAUAAAC